GUGCCAAAUGCUGGAUGGCCUCACUAUCCUCAUGGAAAAGGAGGUGAAUGCCACUGCCUUCUUUCUGUGUCCAAGCAAGUUAUGAUUGGAAUGGAAAGUAUAGCCACCCGGGGCUGUCGGUACCCCUAACCUACUCAGUUGCAGACAUGUUGAUACAGAACAUGAUCAUCGAAUUCCAGUGAAGCCACAGUGAUGGGAGUCCAGCAAGAGUGAAAGCAAGUAGAAGGAAGAAGCCCAGAAAAACCAAAGUGCCUAAGGCCCAUGAAAGCUGUAAUGACUCCCUACCAUGAAG